rnacentral:lncRNA from 8 species
AUGUUGAACUACUCUGGUUGUUGGAUUAGCUGUGUCAUACGGAUGGUGUCAAUGAAAUUGAUUUGCGUGUUCUUGGUGUCUCAGCUGGGUAGCUGUGUCAGCGCCCAGACCGUUGGCUGUAACACUGUACAUGCCAACGGUACAACGACCUAUCAACUCUCAGAGCCCCUGCCAGGAUCGCCCUCAACCUGUGUAACACAGUGGUUGGAUGCAAAUGGGACUGUUCUCACUAACAACAAAGAGAUUGACAAAGAUCGUGUUGUGGUUCAGACCAGUCAAUCUAUUACCACCAUAGGCUGCAUGGACAGACUGAAGUACUUAGAGGAAUGUAUACAUAAUAAAAUGAAUUCAAAUCGGGAAGUAGAGUGCCUUAGUAACUGUAGUGUGAAGCCAUUUGACCAGGAACCCAUUGAACCAGAGCACAAGAGAUCUUUUGGUGAUUGGUGUGUAUCAGGGAUAACAUUUGGGCUUGCCUUUGGGAUAUCAGCUGCUGUCGUCAUCAUCAUCCUGGUUCUCCUUAUUUUCUACAAGAUCCACAUUCACCGAGUGCGUGUUUCUUGGACGUUAGGUGAAGGGGAGCACGAAGAACCCUCUCCUGACCCAGAGAAGCCCCAGAGCCACCCUGCUCCCAAAGUCAAGUAUUCCGCUGUGAAGCAGAGAGAGAGAGCGAGAGAGUGUGACUGA